rnacentral:lncRNA from 1 species
UUCUAACAAGCCACCAGGUGAUGCUGAUGCUGCGUGUCCUAGGACCACACUUUGAGUAGCAAGGGUGUAGAGCUUCGCACAUUUACGUGGAAGCCUCCAAUAGCUGUGUGAGGAAAUAGAGGCUGAGAGAAUUUAUCUGAUACUGUCAGGCAGCAUUUUUUCUUACUGUGCUUCAGUUGCACUCCUCUUAUAAAUAAUCACCUUCUUAUUUAUCUCUAUUUACUAUUUUUGUAUUGUUGGUUUUCACGUAGUAGCAACUCCUGCCCUUUCCUUUAGGAAUGUUGUAUCUUCUUUGUAACUUCUUUUCAAAGUGGAAAUAUUCAAGUAAACCACAACUCAUGUUAGCACUAGAUUUUACAAUCGUAUGGGUCUGGAAUUUGUUCGGUCCGUCGGAUACGACAGCCCCACUGUAUUCUGUGGAUCUGACCACAAUACAGCUUCAUGUCGACAGACUUGCAGAGCACGGCGUGUUCCAUGAACACAAGGCCAGGGAGCUGAUCUUUUCAUAGGAUCCUCUGCAGAAGAUUCUGAAAGAAUUCAUGACACCCAGCAUGCGCUGAACACAUACUGGAGAAUGAAUGAAUGUGCGAACUCUCAUUGCAUAUUUCUCAUUUAAGAAGUGUGAGGAGAAGAGAACGGAGAGAGUGGGUAACAGACUGAAAGAGGAGGGCGGGUUCAGUGAAAAAAUAAUGUAUAAUUGGAAAAUUUUUAGUUUUGUGAGGUCUUAACUGAGUAAUUAGAAGAAACUCAAGAAAAUGUAAAAGACAACAGAAAAGGUUGGAAAAUGUGAAGAAUAGGCCCAGAAAAUUUUUUGAGAAGGUAGAAGAUGCAAAGAGAAAACCUUUCCAGUUUCCAGAUUGAAAAAUAGACCACUUACAAAGGAGGAAAAAUGAUACUGGGAUUCUAGAAGCAGGAAGAUGGUGAACUAACUGCUACAGACCACUAGGAGGAAACGCUUGAGUGCUGAGGAUGUCGAUAUAAUGCGUCUACUAAGGGAAGAGAAAGAUUUGAGGGUUUGUGAGGAUUCAGAGAAUAUGUCAAGCAUAUACUCCAACUGGAAAAGAUACUUAUAAAAAAACCUUAUGUCAGAAGAAAUCUCAACAUAGGUGAAGGCAAAGAGGAGAAGAAAGAAUGGCAAGCAAUAAACUUUAAAAUGUAUAUCAAUAUAUGUAGAUAUAUGCAAAUAGUAUCAAAUGCAUGCAAAUGGUGA